CAGAAGGGAUAUAAGAGUAAGAUACGAGAGUUAUGACUUAUCAGGAUACUUUUAAUUUCAUUAUUGUGCCUUGAUCGGUUUCUUUAAUUUCUCAAGGAGACAGAAAAUAAGUCAGACGUGUCUUCCUACUUAUCUUAUUACAAUCAUAAUAAGUAAUACUCGUAAUAUGUACAUAUAUGAUGUUUUCUUUAUUCGAAUUUACCUAUCACUCAUUUGAAAUGUUUUUAAUUCAAAAAUAUUGCCAAUGAUAUAUUUUUAAAAACAAUUUACGAUUGUUUCAGGUCCCGAUGAGUGUUAGAAAUGUUUGCUAUACUUAUCGUAGCGAUAAUUUAACCGGCGAAUCUUGAAAUGAUAACGAAUGAAGCAUGAGAUAAGAAUACGCUGUUGCACAUCAAUCAAACACCUACCUAAACUAAACGCUCAAAGCCAUUAAUAGCGUCGAUUAAAAGCUGCUGACCAACACCCAACAUGUAUUCAUAGAGCAAAAUAACAACGAUCUUAUCCUAUCAAGACUGGAAUCACAAGGGCGAUCCUAUUUUAUAUGGUAAUUAGUUAAUUAGGAAUUAACUUACGUUGACCCAAUUACUGUGGCUGCAGACAUCGUCACAAGAUAAGGCGAUCAGUUUCACGUUUCUUUUUUUGAAUUCGUCGACAUGCACAGCCAUUCUGCCCAAUUCCGUCGUACAGACCGGAGUGAAAUCCAACGGAUGGGAGAAUAAAACAGCCCAUCUAUAAAGAACAAUAAAAGAUCUCAGUAUUUUUCACCAAAAGAGAAACUAGGAAGUAAUUGAAGAGCGUUUUUCUAAAAAUUUCAUCGUCAAUUCCUUUUGAAAAUGGAUACCAUGACCAUGGGAGCACAUCGGUUCCUAUCCGAGUUUCAAACUUUUUUUAAAACGAAUUUUUGGACAAGGUGAAUGAAAAAUUGGUGCACGUUUCUCCUUCACUUAUGAACCCGAAUUAGUAGGCUAUACCUUGUGGGAUUUUAGAAAAACGCUCUUCAAUUUUCAAUUUUAAUUAUUCAAAAAAUCUACUUACGAAUCUCCGACAUAAUCGUAGAAAUUGAAUUUACCGAAAGUAGUAUCGGCAGCGAAAUCAGGGAUGAUCGAGUUAAGACGCGGCAUUUUUAAACGAGUUUAUAAUAUUUUAACCAAGAGAACGUACGAAGUUAACGCGAUGUACGAACAAGCACAAGUGACAAUUACCGAAUGAAUUACCACCGUUUAAAUUCAAUUCAAAUAA